GUGCCAGCAGCCGCGGUAAGACGGAGGUCCCAAGCGUUGUUCGGAAUCACUGGGCUUAAAGCGCGUGUAGGCGGACGGGCAAGUACUUUGUGAAAUCCCCGGGCUCAACCCGGGAAUAGCUGGGUAUACUGCUCGUCUUGAGGCAGGUAGGGGUCACUGGAACCUUAGGUGGAGCGGUGAAAUGCGUAGAUAUCUAAGGGAACGCCUGUGGCGAAAGCGGGUGACUGGGCCUGUCCUGACGCUGAGACGCGAAAGCGUAGGGAGCAAACGGGAUUAGAAACCCCGGUAGUCC
rnacentral:rRNA from 1 species